rnacentral:rRNA from 1 species
CCUACGGGAGGCUGCAGUGAGGAAUAUUGGUCAAUGGGCGGAAGCCUGAACCAGCCAAGUAGCGUGCAGGAUGACGGCCCUACGGGUUGUAAACUGCUUUUAUACGGGAAUAACGCGCCUUACGUGUAGGGCUUUGCAUGUACCGUACGAAUAAGGACCGGCUAAUUCCGUGCCAGCAGCCGCGUUAAUACGGUGGAUGCGAGCGUUAUCCGGAUUUGUUGGGUUUAAAGGGUGCGUAGGCGGAAUAUCAAGUCAGCGGUAAAAAGUCGGGGCUCAACCCCGGCGUGCCGUUGAGACUGAUGGUCUAGAGUGGGGGAGAGGUAUGCGGAAUGCGUGGUGUAGCGGUGAAAUGCAUAGAUAUCACGCAGAACUCCGAUUGCGAAGGCAGCAUACCGGCGCCCAACUGACGCUGAGGCACGAAAGCGUGGGUAUCGAACAGGAUUAGAUACCCCAGUAGUC